AGCGAACGCUGGCGGCAGGCCUAACACAUGCAAGUCGAACGAAGUCUUCGGACUUAGUGGCGGACGGGUGAGUAACACGUGGGAACGUACCUUUUGGUUCGGAACAACUCAGGGAAACUUGAGCUAAUACCGGAUGAGCACUUAGGGGGAAAGAUUUAUCGCCGAAAGAGCGGCCCGCGUUAGAUUAGCUAGUUGGUGAGGUAAAGGCCCACCAAGGCUACGAUCUAUAGCUGGUCUGAGAGGAUGAUCAGCCACACUGGGACUGAGACCCGGCCCAGACUCCUACGGGAGGCAGCAGUGGGGAAUCUUGCGCAAUGGGCGAAAGCCUGACGCAGCCAUGCCGCGUGAAUGAUGAAGGUCUUAGGAUUGUAAAAUUCUUUUACCAGGGACGAUAAUGACGGUACCUGGAGAAAAAGCCCCGGCUAACUUCGUGCCAGCAGCCGCCGCUGUAA
rnacentral:rRNA from 1 species